AGACAUUGCUGUUGGCUAUCCCAUCUCCCAACCCACUGUUAUAUAUAUUUAAUUUCUUUUUAUAUCAGAGUUGGUCCUGACUGCCCUGAGGCCCUAUGCAAAAUCCGGUAAAGGGGGCCCCCUACCUGACUUGUCUGGUAUAGUUGCCGCACAGCAUGGCGUAUCCAAGAGAAGUUCAUCAAUCUUAGCAGCAGCCAUCCAAUGAAACAGAAACAAGAACGAGAGAUUAAGUGAAGAGCAGAGGGAUGAGAACAGCAGGGAUCUGCAAACUUUGUGAUGAAUGUUUAAGUUUGGCACCUAUGAUGGAUGAGCACCGAAUGGUGUUUGUCACAGUCGCAACACUCUUUCUGGGCUGCGUAUCUAUUCUACAAUGCUAGCGCAGCACACGUAGCCUAGCGUGCUUAACAGUUCUGUUCUAUUAAAGCUGUUGUUUCCUCUCAUUUGCAGAUGAGUAAUGUGUAAAAGUGAUACUAAUGUGAACUGUUUUUGUUUUUAGUUAGCUAGACAAUAAGGAAUGAGCUAAGCAGUUACACUUCUGAAGCGCUAGAUGAACUUAAAUAAAAUGGAUACAAAUUCCAACUUUAAAAUCUGCGCACAAAUAUGUUGCAUUAAAAUGUUGCCAC